rnacentral:lncRNA from 1 species
GCUGUCGAAUUGAGCUCUUCAGCACAGUCUUCAUUCUGCCUGGUGUACAGCAUCAGCUUCACUUCCAGGUCGGUCCCUAUCAAGGCGCUGCUGAAGCUGAGCACGGUGAAUGCAGGGCAUGUCUCCUUGGGAUCUGAAACGAGCACAGAGUGGCAUUCCUCAGGUUAGCAGCCAAGCGUUUCUCUUGGCCUUUUCUACCUGCCAGCCCUGCCCAGGCACAGAACGUGUGCUGGGAGCUGCCUGGGCUGCUCCUUUCCCUGCCACUGUGUCUGUCCCUGCUCUGUAUCUUAGUUUUUCUUGCUGUGUUGGAACAAAGGCAGCGAGUGCACCAGCACAUCCCUGUAUGCUGUAUGCCUUCCACUAGCAGCUGGGAGGUGGCACGGGCUCUCCAGAAACCUUACAAGCUAUUACAGAAUGACAGCGAGGCUGACGGCUGUGUAGGUUGGACAGCACACCCAGAUGCCCUGGAGAAGCUCUAGGGUGAAGAGAUCUCUCUGUAUUUUGUCUGGAGCUGGCAAGCUGUGGGGGAUCUUGCUGCUGUGAGGGGCAGCUCAGUGCUUCAUUUGUAUCUGCAGAUACAGCCUGCUAUUUCAGACUGUGAAAUGGGACACCCUUUGUCUGAAUGAGAUACGGUACUGAUAACACUUUGUACACAGCUGGAGAGUUCCCGAAUUUUCAGUAAGUACUGCUUUUGACGACAAUCUUUGCCAUUUGGAAGCCUGUCUUUGUUCUCUGCUUUUCCAGCAGGCCACCAGCUGAGCCUUCACAGCCCCAUGCAAGCUCCAGCAGGGCACUGCUAGGAAAAGGAAUAACAGUCUCCAGGCAGACUGCUUACUGAGACCCUCCCAGGUUCUGUAGCCUCUCUCUGGCCCACAGUCUCCUUGGUUUUACUGAAGAACCUUGUGGGAGAAAGCAUCUCUCUUGCACACACACCCUGGGCUGCAUUAAUUGCUCCCCUGCAGUUGCUAAAGGGCUUUUGCUGCUCAAAAGCAAAAGCUGUGCUGGAGGUGGAAGAGGUUUGGGAAACCUGCAGCUUUAAGGCAGGGGUGCUCUAGCAGGUGUCCAGCACUCCGUGCAUUUUAAUUUCCAAAUGAUGGAUCUCUCACAGUUCCCACAAUAAACUUUCAUGCUUUUCCUCCUAUGGAAACCAGAAGCAUGAGAGUAAUAUAAAUGCUGUGUGCCCAGCACAUAAAAUAAUCCUCUCAGUUGCCAUAGUUCUGCUAAUUACUUUGCAGAAGCCCCAGGAGCUCCAGAAAUAAAAGUUAAUAGGCUAAGAGGAUGUUGCAGUUAACUCCAACUGGAUGUUUUAAAUUACUACUAUAAAUUCAGAAAUAAAUUUUAACAUUUGAGAUCCACAGAGCCCUUCCUAUGGAAAGCCCAUGGUGAGAUACGAAUAGCGGGAUGGGAGCAGGGGGAGUGAACUCUCAGGCAGGGCUAGCGAGCAUCAGUUGAAGUCAAUGGCUUUGAGCUGAGGGUGUUCUGCCUCCUAAAGCUCCCAUCUCCCAGGAGCACAUCACUCUGGGCCCUGCUUUCUCGAGUCGAGGUGACCUUUGGUGCCUCUUUCUUGGUCCGUUUGCUCUCCAUUGGGAACAGCAGCAAGAGUUCUCCAUCUGGAGACCUCAGAGCAGCUAGCAGAGAGCUAUGGUUUUGUGCACAGUGACAAUGGGUGACUCUCCUCUAGGUGCUACUGCAGUGCAAGAGAAAAAAAAAAACCCACGUUUGUCUUAGAUUAAUAACUCAGUGUGUUUCAGUUCCCGUAUAGCACUGUUACGCAGUAUUGUUAAUCAUCUGUACUGCCACGGAGGCCAUAGAAACGCAGGCAGAAAUGCUGGACCAGAAUUAUUGCUACAUGGUGCAAAGCUGCUCCGAUUGCUUCAUUUGUCUCUUAUCUCUGCGUCGUGCUGUGACAUGCCCAGGGGAGCACUUGGUUGGCACCAGAGCAGCCCAAACCCUCUGCCGAAGAAGGGCUAUUAAAGAGCUGAUCGGGAUUUGCUAAUCCCUAAAAGAGGAAGAGUUUAAAAAGCAUUGUAUCUGUACCAAGUCUGUUAAAUUUGUUCUGUUUUCAUUAACAAGAUCAGAUGAGUGUCGAUGGAGGGGGAAAUCCUGCCGGCUUCUCCCUGCUGCAUGGCUGUGUGUCGCAGGAGCUGACACAUGAGGGCAGCUGGGGAUCCUGCAUUCACUCCUCCUCCUGGUAGGCACAGGAUGGCAAACACCGCUUUGCUAGGCCAGGUCCUCUCACGCCUCAGCACUCUAGCAGAAGCCACAGCGAUCUGCUUUGAUGUUCCUAUGUUGGAGCUGGACAUCUGCCUUGAGCAUGAGAUCAGCCUCUCAGGUGUGCCUGCAGCAGGAGGGGCAUCUUCGGCACAGCUGGUUUGUGGAGACCAGGAGCAGGUGGGAGCACUGCGGCCAUGACAGUGGUGCUGGGCAGACCCUGCAGCAGUCACUGCAGUCAGUGCCAUGCAAGGCUCGCGUCCUCCUGGGCUCUCUCCAAACACGGUGUUUGGAGACUUUCCCUUCCUUUUGUCCUGGGUGUUCAUCCUAUGGGCAGGAAGGUCCUCAUCUUUGAGGCUUUCUGCACAGAAAGAAAGGCAUCUCCAUUUUCCAACUCUGCCAGUUCAGCCCCUUGCAAAGUGAAGGUUCAAAAGGUUUCCUCCUCAUCGUCACUUCAUCAGAGCUGCUUCUGUCAGAUCUGUGGCUGUCCUAACUGCGAACCCUGGGAGACCACAUUGCCUCACAGAGCCCACCAAGGGGCUGCUCCCUACUCAGCAGCUUCUGCUGACCUCCAACCAGCAUGCUGCUGCUCCCAUGGCAGCCUGCAGCAUCCCUGACUUCCAAAGCACCAUUACCUUGCCCGGGAUGUGCCAUUUGUUUCAGGAGACCCUUACGCAUCAGCACUAAAGUGGUCAGCUUUGAGCACUGCCACACAGCAAAUCCCAGCAGCGUUGCUGAGUAUUCCCAUGCUUUCCACACAAAGGGUGUGCCCUCCACCUCUUAAAAUGGCCUUCAGUAUCUCCCACUUUUAACUAUGUUUCCUACAGUGUAUUCAUCACAAUAAGCAAAACCAGACCUCCAAGACUGCCCGAGGGAGCCUGAUGAAAUAUCAGCCUUCCUGAGAAUCCUUUGCAUUGUUCUAAAUCCCGUUUGUUUUCCCUGCAAAGCGUGGAGCUGCAGCUCCACAAAGCAAGCGACGCGCUCCCAUGUGUGCGUUAACAGGAGGCAGCACAUUUGUUGAUUAUUAAACAGGUUGAUUCUUGAUGGGGCCACGAGGAUACCAAGUGAAGUUCAGCAUUCAUAAAUGCGAAUUCAUCCUUUUGUGGCUGUCAUGUAACGCGCUGCUGAAAAGAAAUCAUUCUUCUCUGAAGAUUUCAGAUGACGUUUUCAGUGUCGACGGAUGGUGCUUAUGUAAGAGGAAUGCUUGCAAAGCGAAGAAGAGAUCAUACAAAUGACUUCUGGCUUUAUGUUUGGAACUCUUCAGUUCAUGAAACCAAGACAGUUUGCUUUAAGACAACUAAUGCUAGUUAAAGACUCCACACAGUAACCUUACAAUGCAGAGGGCAGAUAGGUUUAUGCUUCUGCAAAGCAGAGUAAGAGUUAUAUUGAACAAAAAAAAUCAAAGCGAUUGACUUCCUACCUGUUUUCACCCCAUACAAAAGGCAGAAGAACGUGACACACAGCCACAGCAUGUGGGCUCCCGCAUGGAACUUCUACAGGUAGAAAACCUUACUGGUCCUGUGGUUUCUUUGGCAUGUAGUCGCUGUCUCGGACAGCUGUUUGCUCUCUUUUUCUGCCAGCAAUGUAGGUGUGGUGAAAGGAGGAAGUUCCCAGCCAAGAAAUGAAGACGGGCCUGAAGUUAUACAACUGGCACUUCUUUCUCGAAAGGUGGGGCACCUUCUCUUGUAGCAGGAUCCCUUGUUUUAAAUAUCGUUUGCCCUGGGCUGUGACUAAUCAAAGACAGACAUGGUUUGGUAUCACGCUGUAAGCAGCAGUUUGACUACCUGUGUUGAAAUUACUGUGUGCCUGUUCGCCUUCUGCAAAGAGCAUCAAAAUGCAGGGAAGAACGUAGGUGUGCAAAGUUGAUAGGCAUCUGGGCAGGGCCAGCACUCAGCUUCCCAGGACCCCACGUUGCAGCAUUGGGACACUCCCAUCCGUGUUCCUCUGGCUCUCCCACGCUCUGGCUGUCUCCAGCAGGUGGAAGCCCAGCAUCCCUUUUAACCUGUGAGGUCCUGCAGCCUCAGUCAGGGUGUGGAUGGGCACCACUCCAUCCCGACAAAGGGAAGGUCCCAGUUCAACUCAAUACGUGCUGCCAAGAAGCUGCUGUUUUGGAUAGCACUCAUACAUCUGGCAUCCCCAUCAUGUUUUCCUAAAGCCCUGCUGGAACCUUGUGAAUCCAGAUCCAAUUCAAGUGAGAAAGGCUUUUUUUCCCCUGCUGGACAGUAAGAAGACGGCAGAUGCAGAGACAACUGUCGGGGCUGGGAAAGGAAGCCUGAAAUUGGAGCUGGAAAAUCUUGUGGCAAAAUUGGAGCGAUGGGGAUGGAGUUUGUGAUGGAGUGAGAGAGGGGAGGGGAAGGGAGAACAGAGACGGCUGCUAGAUAGACAAAGCCACCACACAGCUUCUAGCGUUUUCUUUGCAGGGUGAGGGAACAUGGGGAGGAUCAGAAAUACCUCAUUAAGCCCAAGCUCUGUUUUGCCCCUGGUGAGAUGCAGCGAGGAGCUGAACUAUUACAGUUCCCAGUGGCGUAGCUGUUUCUUUGGUCCGUACUGUACAUACGAAGCUUGAGUUAAUCCUGAACAGCCUGCUGGCUGCCUGCAGCUCCUUCUUGUUCAGAUGAGCACACUGCUGGCUCAGUGCAGGCACUACUAACUCCUCAGGCAGGGGCAGCCCCAGCCACACGCAGUUUUUUCUCAAGCCCCUCAAACCAAGCAUCCUCCUGUGGCUCAGCACUCAGCCUCGCAGGACAUCAGACAUGCUCCACGUGGUACUCACACAGGCCAACAUUGGGUUUUGUUGAUUCCGAAGAGGAUAAACAUUGUGAAAAGACACCCAAGAUUUCUGCAGAAUCUGGAAGCUGUGGGCUCCAGGAAAAUGCCUUUAUUUUCUGAUGCGCUGGCAAUAGAAAAUACUCUGAAAUACUGUUUUCCUUCCAGAUUCUUUCUCACCUCUACCAGUCCCCCUAAACUGUCAAAAUAUUUUCUCCUUAGCAAGUUCUGCCGAUGGUGUGAAGGAAUCAGUCCAAGAGUGAAACACGCAAGAUGAACAGAAGGCUUUUACCUAUUGCAAAAGAUGUUUGAGAAUCGGAGAUAAAGUGAGGUAAAGAAAUAAAGAGGGCCUUGCCUUUCUUCUCAGCAUAAGAAGAGGUAACAUUUCUGUUGCCUGAAGCUAAGCUCCCCUCGUUCCUUUUCCCCAUCACUUCCCUUAGAUGGCUGUUUCCCUCUGAGACAGCUCAUCUGAGCAGCUGUCAUCAGGCACUGGGCUGGCGCUUCCCCGUGACUUCUUCCCUGUGACUCAGCCAAAACACAGGGAUUUUGAGUAACCACAAUUUUAGCACAAAUUCCACUGUUUACACUGGAAAAUAUAUGGAGCUCAGCAGUGUCAAUGUCCGGUGCCACCACUGACCUGUGGUUAUCUGGGUUUUGUAUAGCAAACUCUAACACAAAACACAGUUAUACUUGGAAUGUAAGCCUCCAUGGUCACCAACAUCCCAUCCCGAGUUUUGAAAUGCAAGAACAACUCCAGACAGUGAAAACUACAUUUUUACCACAUGUAGAAAACAUCUAAGAACAGAACUGGCACCAAAUAAAGAAUAAGUUAACAGAAGGUAUAAUUUUACAUGAAAUCCCCCGGAUUCAUCAGUUUCCCGUGGGAGGGACGUUUUCAUGGAGAUACUGCAGAGACAAAUCUGUCCACUUCAUUUCUUGCUCUUUCACAGACUCCGUUGUACCUCCAUUGUCUUGCUCUGGUUCAGGGAGCUCAUUCUGAGAACAACAAAAAAAGGUACAUUGCAUUCUGUGCAUAACAAGCUUCCUAAAAGGAGCAGGUGACGAAGACUUCAUAUGAAUAAAUACAAAAAUCCACAAAUGAGACCAGAGGGGGCAUCUGAACAAUACAUAUCACACAUACUGAUUCAGUUAAAAUAUUACUAAGCCCACUGAGGAACAGUGUUCUUUUCAUAUGAUUAUGAUGCUUCAUCUGAAAGGCAAAUUGGCUUUCCAGGGCCCUGGGGCCUUGCUAUGUACUCAGACUGCACACGCA